GGUGUGUGUGUUGAGAUUGAGAAGGAGAGAACGUGGCGGAGAGACACGAGUGUUAGUUCAGCACGUGCGAGACACUUGGUUUUGUUUACUAUGGUUGACUCUAAGAGUGUGUGACGAGACGUUAACAGUGUGGGGUGACAUUCCCGAGACUUGCACCACGUGUAGAACUGUGUUUUCAGCUGCAACUGCUGAGGUUAAACGUUAGUCGCGACUACUCGUCUGAUCAACGGAGGCUGCUGUUAUGGACCAUCGGAGAGCUGUAAAGUGACUUGCUGACGCACUGUAGCAGAGACAGCGCGGUGUCCUCAGGAGGAACUGGAUUCAGUGUGGGACUGGCAAGGGGUUUACGGUUAGUUUCCCUGAUUCCUGUCCAUACCAGAACCAUUGUGGAAUCUGUUCUAAUAACGAACCCAACACCCAACAUAGUGGGUCUAAACUGAUGUAGGAGGGUUUAGACUCAGUAUAACAGGUGUCUGACACAUCUUCUUGUGGAUCUGGUUACCCACUAGCAGAGAAUGCACAGAAAACUUUCCUUACCAUUACUUAAAAUGAUAAACCUGUAAUACCACAAGUUCAUCACACCAAACCUCAUUAGAUCUAAGGUAAGCUUAUUAUUGGAUUGGAUUAUUUUUUUUGCCCUUUUUCCCCGUCCCUCUUCCCCGCUGUUUUUCUUUCC
ensembl:lncRNA